rnacentral:rRNA from 1 species
AUUGAACGCUGGCGGCAGGCCUAACACAUGCAAGUCGAGCGGAGGAGCGGACGGGUGAGUAAUGCCUAGGAAUCUGCCUGGUAGUGGGGGAUAACGUCCGGAAACGGGCACUAAUACCGCAUACUAUCAGAUGAGCCUAGGUCGGAUUAGCUAGUGGGUGGGGUAAAGGCAUACAAAGGCGACGAUCCGUAACUGGGCUGAGAGGAUGAUCAGUCACACUGGAACUGAGACACGGUCCAGACUCCUACGGGAGGCAGCAGUGGGGAAUAUUGGACAAUGGGCGAAAGCCUGAUCCAGCCAUGCCGCGUGUGUGAAGAAGGUCUUCGGAUUGUAAAGCACUUUAAGUUGGGAGGCGUUACCAACAGAAUAAGCACCGGCUAACUUCGUGCCAGCAGCCGCGGUAAUUC